UUCCUCAAACACAGCAUGAGUCAGAAAAAAAGAGACUGCUGGAGAGAGGAGAGGGAGGUAGAAGGAGGGAGGGAAACCGAAAGGGAGGGAGGGAGAGAUUAUUUUACAUAAGCAGCCCUGGAAUUACUGAUUUCAGCCAUUCUUCAACUAAAUCGUAGCUUCUUUCAAGCUGGAGAGGAAAAGCAAUAAGUCCUAGAACUUACCUCAGUGAGUGCUGGAAACAGUUCUUGUGAAGAAAUACCCAUUUGCAAAGCAGUCCAAAUCCCCAGCCACACACAGAGUCUGGAGCUUGUCAAAAUCCCAAACAGGAAGCUUCUCUCUGGAUGUGCCCCCGCCCCCUCCCAUCUCAUCCCAAGAGGACUCUGGUGGAAGACACGCCUGCAAAGAGACAUUUUACUCCUGUCCCAGAGGGUUCCCUUAAGUGCAUCAUUAGAGUUUCAGGAAG